GACCGCUAAACCGGCGGGAUAUAAAAUUGAGAUGCAUUUCACACUUUGCAUAUUAUCUUUCUAGAUGGAUUAGAGAUUAGCUUGGCUGAGUAGGAGAAUCAUUUUUGACAGCGGGGAUCAACUUGGAAGACUUCCUGGAUAGCCCUAUUUAUUUUAUAUCUUACAGAUAACUAAGCUAUUAUAAGAGAAGCUUAAAAGUAUGUUAUGGCCUGGAAUAUUUUUUUUUUGUAUAAUUAUUCUUUUGGUAAUUAGAGAUCAGUAAUAAUCUAUUGGGAUGUUUAACAUGUGAUUUAUUUGAUGGAAUAAAUAAAUUGACAAUUGGAGGCCUAGCAUAUUGAAAUAUUAGCAAGUUUUGGAUUAUUGAAAUUUUAAAAGAAAUGUUGCUGAAAUUUUGGGUUGUGACACAAUUCCUGAAGGCAAACAGUUGAACACAUUUCAGAGCGAUGCCUUUGGGGGGAAUUUUGGUUGUGUGGAUUUCCCUCUCAAAGACAAUGUGGAGGGGACGCAAAUGAACCACCACCAUCAAGUACUCUUACAGAUGAAGAAAACACGGAGAAUCGAAAUUGGAUGGAAUGGCGAGCGGUACCAAAUGGGUUACAGACGCUGAACUGUUCUUAGACUUUCUGUGGGAUAUAUAAUGCUUCAUUUCCAAAGACCUCUAUGGCUCAUGAGGAUGAUGAAGAGAAGUAUAUACAAGCUGCAAAGAAGAGCUCGAAGAACUCAUGGAAGAGACGGCGGGAGGAUGCGGCGGCGAUGAUUGAGGCAAACCAACAACAGUUGAUGGAUCACAAUAAAUGGCAGGAAUGUAGGAGCCUUCACACCCAUCCUCAGUUUGGGAGAUCUUAGAGAUCAUACUAACAGAGAAAUGGAGUGUCUCUGUCUCAGUAUGUGUGUGUAUGUGGUCUUAUAUAUUCAAAUCCUAGCAAUGUUGUGAUGUAAUAAACAAUACUGGGCAAAUAUGGAGCAUUACGAGUUCAAUAUCAACUAAUAUCAACGACGUCAA